rnacentral:rRNA from 1 species
UACGUAGGGGGCAAGCGUUAUCCGGAAUCAUUGGGCGUAAAGGGUGCGUAGGCGGCCUAUAAAGUCUGGGGUGAAAGGCUACGGCUUAACCGUAGUAAGCCUUGGAAACUUAUGGGCUUGAGUGCAGGAGAGGAGAGUGGAAUUCCUAGUGUAGCGGUGAAAUGCGUAGAUAUUAGGAGGAACACCAGUGGCGAAGGCGACUCUCUGGACUGUAACUGACGCUGAGGCACGAAAGCGUGGGUAGCGAACAGGAUUAGAUACCCUGGUAGUCCACGCCGUAAACGAUGAGUGCUAGGUGUCGGGGGCGACAGCCCUCGGUGCCGCAGCAAACGCAUUAAGCACUCCGCCUGGGGAGUACGGUCGCAAGACUGAA